rnacentral:rRNA from 1 species
CGGGUGAGUAAUACAUCGGAACGUGCCCGAUCGUGGGGGAGUAACGAGGCGAAAGCUUUGCUAAUACCGCAUACGAUCUACGGAUGAAAGCGGGGGAGUCUUCGGACCUCGCGCGGACGGAGCGGCCGAUGGCAGAUUAGGUAGUUGGUGGGAUAAAAGCUUACCAAGCCGACGAUCUGUAGCUGGUCUGAGAGGAUGAUCAGCCACACUGGGACUGAGACACGGCCCAG